GGGGGCGAACAGGGUUCGACAUUUCUACUGGACUCCGAAGCGCAUGCCAAGAUUGUGGUAAUUCUUGUAAAACAUACUACAAAAAAUUUAGUUGCAAAUAACGACAACUACGCUUUAGCAGCUUAAUGCUAACCGAUGCCAGAAUUGACUAUGGUUUGAAGCAUCGGCAAAUCACAUAGUCUAGCCAAGCUGUGUUGCUUGGACACAGUUUGGUUAAACUUAAUCAAGCUCGCUUUUUCACCCUGCUCCUC
rnacentral:tmRNA from 1 species